GAUGAAGAACGUAGCGAAAUGCGAUAAGUAAUGUGAAUUGCAGAAUUCAGUGAAUCAUCGAAUCUUUGAACGCACAUUGCGCCCGCCAGUAUUCUGGCGGGCAUGCCUGUUCGAGCGUCAUUUCAACCAUCAAGCCCCCGGCUUGUGUUGGGGACCUGCGGCUGCCGCAGGCCCUGAAAAGCAGUGGCGGGCUCGCUGUCACACCGAGCGUAGUAGCAUACAUCUCGCUCUGGGCGUGCUGCGGGUUCCGGCCGUUAAACCACCUUCAUAACCCAAGGUUGACCUCGGAUCAGGUAGGAAGACCCGCUGAAGUUAAGCAUAUCAAUAAGCGGAGGA
rnacentral:misc_RNA from 1 species